UUUGAUACCUCAGUAGAUGGUGUUUGUGUUUAUUAAAUGAAAAGGAGUGAAUUAAACAGUAUGGGAUCAUAAAUGGAGAAGCUUACAGAAGAUAAGCCUUUCAAGUGAAGGAGAGUAAGGAAAGUGGUUGGGUAUUUUAAGAAGUGAAGAACCAUGUCCUGUGUGUGGAAUUGAAGAUAUUGAUCAACUAUUCCCACAAGAAGAAGCAUUUCCUUACAGGGUACCAUGGAU